UCAGGAUGAACGCUAGCUACAGGCUUAACACAUGCAAGUCGAGGGGCAGCAUGAAGUUUGCUUGCAAACUUGAUGGCGACCGGCGCACGGGUGAGUAACGCGUAUCCAACCUUCCCUAUACUAGAGGAUAGCCCGGCGAAAGUCGGAUUAAUACUCUAUGUUCUUCGUAGAAGACAUCUGAAAUGAAGCAAAGGUUUACCGGUAUAGGAUGGGGAUGCGUCUGAUUAGGUUGUUGGCGGGGUAACGGCCCACCAAGCCCACGAUCAGUAGGGGUUCUGAGAGGAAGGUCCCCCCACAUUGGAACUGAGACACGGUCCAAACUCCUACGGGAGGCAGCAGUGAGGAAUAUUGGUCAAUGGACGAGAGUCUGAACCAGCCAAGUAGCGUGCAGGAUGACGGCCCUAUGGGUUGUAAACUGCUUUUAUACAGGGAUAAAGUGACGUACGUGUACGUUUUUGUAGGUACUGUAUGAAUAAGGACCGGCUAAUUCCGUGCCAGCAGCCGC
rnacentral:rRNA from 1 species